rnacentral:rRNA from 1 species
GAUGAACGCUGGCGGCGUGCCUAAUACAUGCAAGUCGAGCGAACGGACGAGAAUCUUGCUUCUCUGAUGUUAGCGGCGGACGGGUGAGUAACACGUGGAUAACCUACCUAUAAGACUGGGAUAACUUCGGGAAACCGUAGCUAAUACCGGAUAAUAUUUUGAACCGCAUGGUUCAAAAGUGAAAGACGGUCUUGCUGUCACUUAUAGAUGGAUCCGCGCUGCAUUAGCUAGUUGGUAAGGUAACGGCUUACCAAGGCAACGAUGCAUAGCCGACCUGAGAGGGUGAUCGGCCACACUGGAACUGAGACACGGUCCAGACUCCUACGGGAGGCAGCAGUAGGGAAUCUUCCGCAAUGGGCGAAAGCCUGACGGAGCAACGCCGCGUGAGUGAUGAAGGUCUUCGGAUCGUAAAACUCUGUUAUUAGGGAAGAACAUAUGUGUAAGUAACUGUGCACAUCUUGACGGUACCUAAUCAGAAAGCCACGGCUAACUACGUG